UACGGAGGGGGCUAGCGUUGUUCGGAAUUACUGGGCGUAAAGCGCACGUAGGCGGUCUUUUAAGUCGGGGGUGAAAUCCUGGAGCUCAACUCCAGAACUGCCUUCGAUACUGGAAGACUUGAGUCCGGGAGAGGUGAGUGGAACUGCGAGUGUAGAGGUGAAAUUCGUAGAUAUUCGCAAGAACACCAGUGGCGAAGGCGGCUCACUGGCCCGGUACUGACGCUGAGGUGCGAAAGCGUGGGGAGCAACAG
rnacentral:rRNA from 1 species